rnacentral:rRNA from 1 species
UACGGGGGGGGCAAGCGUUGUUCGGAAUUACUGGGCGUAAAGGCUCGUAGGCGGCCAACUAAGUCAGACGUGAAAUCCCUCGGCUUAACCGGGGAACUGCGUCUGAUACUGGAUGGCUUGAGGUUGGGAGAGGGAUGCGGAAUUCCAGGUGUAGCGGUGAAAUGCGUAGAUAUCUGGAGGAACACCGGUGGCGAAGGCGGCAUCCUGGACCAACACUGACACUGAUGAGCGAAAGCCAGGGGAGCAAACGGG